rnacentral:rRNA from 1 species
AUGGCAUUAUUAUAUGGGAAGUGUUUGUGGCCGGGGCGCCGGUCGCGCUCCGUGCGUUGGAUCUCUUUUGAUCCAAGGACGUUGUCUGUGCCACGUGUCACCACAGACGCAUGUUUUUUUAACGCGCACGGGUUAUCCCUUCCCCAGUUUUUUGCUGCAACCGCACGGGGGCGUCAUUUCGGUGCGAGGAGGCAGGGCGACCUGCGGGCGACGGGCUUGUUGGCGCCUGGAGAUCAGGAGCGGCGGCGGCGGCCUAGGGCGGAUCUCGAUUCUCCGGCGAUCUAUGGCUUCCCCGGAUGGGCCGAAACCAACUUUGUACUUUUGCAAAUGUUUUACAGAUUUUUUAGGUGUUCUUAUGUCGCAGGCACCGCUGGUGAGAAUGAAGGGAGUAAGAAGGUUAAGAAGAAGAUCAAGAAGAAAGGCAAUCUAUGUGGCUUUAAGUCAAGGUUUAACUCAAAAAGGCUAGCUAAGAUUGGGAAGCAAGUAACACCAGAAAAACAGAGAAUCAUAAGGGAGGGACCGUUUGGAGACUUGUUGGACAUCCGGUCUUUCAAGGUGCCCCAUGAGCUCAUUGAGUUUGUUGUGAUGAACACGAAUCACAUACUCUCUGAGUUCAAACACAAGAACAAGUCCAUCACCUUCAGCAAGCUCAUGAUGAAAAGGAUUUUCAACGUGCCAUCCGGUGAUAGACCCGUGAAGCUUCUUAAGAAGAGUGAUGAACAUGAGCUUCGCAGCAUCUACAAGGAGGGGAACAGGGCUCCAAUCGCCCAUGUUGUCAAGUUGCUCACUAGUUGCAGCGAUGAGGACGUGGUUAUGAUAAAUAGGACUUGGACACUCCUUGCGUUGGCAACAGUUUUGUGCCCAAGCACUGGCAAUAUCGUGAAUCUUGAGUAUCUAGCUUCCUUGGAAGAUAUGUCUUUGGUGCAUGAAUUCGCUUGGGAUGAGCACUUGUUGGCACGAGUGAUGGAGGAGGUUGGAGUCUUUCAAGAGAAGAAGAGGAUGCAAGCAAAUACAAAAAAAGCAGCGGAGUUUCAGAUCACUUCAUGCCUUCCCAUGUUAGCGAUCAUAUACAUGGAUCAUAUUGAUAUUCCGGCCGGCCUCCCAAAUGAGCAUGCCAUUGAUUAUUUCGUGCUGAGGAUACGUUUUGUUUGUCAAAAGGAUUUUGAUUGGUUGGAUAAAGUUGACAAGAACAAGCUCACUCUUGUCCAACCUUUCUACGGCAAACGCACCCAAAUACGGAGUUUGUGCAACACCCCCUAUGCAGCACAACUCGUGGGACAAGAAGUUGGUGCUGAAGCAGCCAGUGGGCAGGGAGUUGGUGCUGAAGCACCUAGUGGCCAAGGAACUAGUGGCCAAGGAAGCCAAAUUCAAGGUGCUGAAAUUCAAGCAAAGGACUCUCAAUCAAACGAGGCUCAACAAAAUGUUGAAGCUGAACCACACCUAUCAUCCUCGCUCAACGAUUGGCUGCAGCAAUCAUUCCCUAGCAUGCAAGAUCUAAGGGUACCAACUCAGUUUCAAAUGCUCUAUGACAAGCACAAGGGUAUUUUUGCAGCAGAGGUGGAUGGUGUAGUAGGCAAGUUUGGACAGUGUUUAAAGGAAUUGCAGUGCAACCGGAUGGCUACUCUCCUUCGUGAUGUUGGAGACGCCAUCACAGCUACCAAUGAACCCAACUUUUCCUUUGAAGCACCUAUCAUGGACGAAUGUCGCGGAAAAGAGAAUUAUGCUAAAGCUGCAAAUGCCGACAUUGGUGCUCAAGCUCAAGCUCAAGAUACAACACCUAGCAUCAACAAGGAUGAAGUCACCGGAUUGAACCUAGAAGUUGCAACAGAGGCUGCGGAAACUUGUGAGCAACAAAGAGUGAGUUUCGAGAUGGAAGGAAACGCCUCACCUCACAGCCCCCCACUCUUCUAUGAUGCACCCAGGAGUGCGACAGCCAGCAUUUGGGACGACGAGCCAUCCUGUGAGUUGUUCCCAAAGGGCUCCGAAGACUAUGAGAUGAUGCAUUCCACGUAUGAGCCUAUAAUUAAGAAGAGCACAGUCAGCCCCAUCUAUGCAAACAUCCCCGUGUUUCCUGUUUCAGAUGAUGAUGACAGCCCAACUCUUAAGAUGGUCGCUACAGAAGAGCAUUUUGCUGAUGCAAGCAGUGGCCCUAGCACACAUGACAAGAACACUAGGAAGAAGAGGAUGGCCAAAGUUCCAGCCAUAAAAAAUACCAAGGCAAAGAAGCAAAAGGUCGACAAGGCUGCAGAAAUGUAUGAGAGGACACCUUUCAUCAAGCUAGGUGGAUUUUACAUUGGAUACAAGAAAUUCCUUGUAUGCUUCAAGCCUCGUGGGGAUAUGAAUGAUGAGGUCAUGUCACUAUGUAUCGAGAUGAACAACAUUGCAUCCCGUGCAGCAAAAGAACCGGGGCUGAAGAAAUACAUUUUCUCAGUCCACGCAGGGAUCCUACUAAAACAAGACCCAUCAACUUUCCAACCAGCAAAACUCAUGGCUGAGCUUGAAAGGGCUAUGAAAGUGUUCAAGGUUCAAAAGUUUGACCUCCUCUUUUUCACAAUUGUUCAUGAUCGCCAUUGGAUAGUUGUUUGCGCAAACUUGCUUCACAAGCAUUGGAAUGUAUUUGACUCAAUGCAUUCAAAAGGAAAACAAUCUCCUUUGAAGAAGCAAGCCAAUAACCUGAUCACAAACUUUGCAACCCUCGCACAAGAGUGCAGCGAAUUCAAUGUCAAUGUUGGAUCCUUCGCCCGUGUUGACCUAGAGGAUUACCCAAAGCAAGAUACCCUAUGUGAUUUUGGUUUUUUUGGGCUCAAGUAUGUGGAGAACUAUGAUGGGAAGUCAAUGAGAGAGUUCAAGCAGGAAGACAUGGCGCGAUACCGCAUCGAUGUGGCAUACAACCUUUUCAGCCACCCAAUGAACAACGCCCCAAAGGAGCGGGCGUUCAACGAUGAGUUGGCGGCUUGA